AACCAGGUGACUGAAAAAUAAGUGUAUAUUUUUUGAAUAUAUUAUGGGAAAUCCCCCUAGUUA
rnacentral:tRNA from 1 species